UCUGCAAGUGUCAGAGGCGAGG
rnacentral:miRNA from 1 species